GAAUAUUGGGCAAUGGGCGCAAGCCUGACCCAGCAACGCCGCGUGAAGGAAGAAGGCUUUCGGGUUGUAAACUUCUUUUAUUGAGGACGAAAAAAAUGACGGUACUCAAUGAAUAAGCCACGGCUAACUACGUGCCAGCAGCCGCGGUAAUACGUAGGUGGCAAGCGUUAUCCGGAUUUACUGGGUGUAAAGGGCGUGUAGGCGGGACUGCAAGUCAGAUGUGAAACCCAUGGGCUCAACCCAUGGCCUGCAUUUGAAACUGUGGUUCUUGAGUGUCGGAGAGGUAAUCGGAAUUCCGUGUGUAGCGGUGAAAUGCGUAGAUAUACGGAGGAACACCAGUGGCGAAGGCGGAUUACUGGACGAUAACUGACGCUGAGGCGCGAAAGCGUGGGGAGCAAACAG
rnacentral:rRNA from 1 species